rnacentral:rRNA from 1 species
CGUAGGGGGCGAGCGUUAUCCGGAUUCAUUGGGCGUAAAGCGCUCGUAGGCGGCCUGCUAGGUCGGGAGUCAAAUGCGGGGGCCCAACCCCCGGCCGCUCCCGAUACCGGCGGGCUUGAGUUUGGUAGGGGAAGGCGGAAUUCCCGGUGUAGCGGUGGAAUGCGCAGAUAUCGGGAAGAACACCGGUGGCGAAGGCGGCCUUCUGGGCCACAACUGACGCUGAGGAGCGAAAGCCGGGGGAGCGA